rnacentral:rRNA from 1 species
CCGACACAGGUAGGUGAGGAGAGAAUCCUAAGGCCAUCGGAAGAAUUGCUGUUAAGGAACUCGGCAAAUUGACCCCGUAACUUCGGGAGAAGGGGUGCCUACGAAAGUAGGCCGCAGAGAAUAGGCCCAAGCAACUGUUUAGCAAAAACACAGGUCUCUGCUAAAGCGAAAGCUGAUGUAUAGGGGCUGACGCCUGCCCGGUGCUGGAAGGUUAAGGGGAACACUUAGCGUAAGCGAAGGUGUGAACUUAAGCCCCAGUAAACGGCGGCCGUAACUAUAACGGUCCUAAGGUAGCGAAAUUCCUUGUCGGGUAAGUUCCGACCCGCACGAAUGGCGUAAUGAUUUGGGCACUGUCUCAACAGCAAAUCCGGCGAAAUUGUAGUGCAAGUGAAGAUGCUUGCUACCCGCGAUUGGACGGAAAGACCCCGUAGAGCUUUACUGUAGCUUAGCAUUGAAUCUCGGUAUUGUCUGUACA